rnacentral:lncRNA from 1 species
CAUGUGAGACGGCCCAGUCAACAACCCGAGCGAACCAGAUCACGUUGCGUAUCAGGCAGGCUAACAUUAGCACCAUGUGGGAAGUUACACGAGUGAUAUGCGAUCUGACGGUUUAGACCUCAACCCGCGCGCGUGAACGGCCCAGAUGCAUUCCCUUUUUAGACGCGAUUGGACAGACGGGAUGGAUUGCAAUGGACGGUCCAUAUUCGUCCAUGCCAUCAGCCUAAACGGAAAAUCAUCAAACAGUCCUCCUCGUCCACGUCAACACAAAAGGACAGCCUAGAUCGAAAAGUAAAUGAGUAUUUAAACUCCUAUUCAUAGGAGAACCUAACCCUAGCCGCCCAGCCCUUAUCGGAUAAGAAGAACCCAAACGCCGGAGAAGGAGGUCGACCCCCAGUUAUCAUCGCAUCGGAGCCACCGUCGACUGCCAAAAAAGGUAAAAAAAAAUUUCUCCCUGCUCGAAAUCCAAUUCUGAUUCUCCCUAUGACCAUAUUGGAGCAAAAUGGACAGUGGGUGAGCUAAAAAUCGCGGGUAAAGUUCGGCGGAGCCGUAGCGGCCAAAACCCUAAACUCUCUCCGAUGACCCCCUUCCCAUUUCUUGUUUCACACGAUUCUUCGACCAUCGUGUUCACCGUCUCUUUUUAUUGCAGCUUAGCUGAAUAAGAAUUUCAGUCGUGAAGGGAAAUCGGUAGAGCCGUCACACCUGGAGACCCCCUGGUAGGUUUCGAUUUUUUAAUUUUUCGGGCCAACUGAGGCUUUCUAAUAUGUUUUUUUAACAAGGAUACGUGUAAAAUCGACCAAAACCGGUCAAAACCAACUAAAACUGACCAGGUCGAGACAAAUUGCUGUUGUCGGCACCGGAACCGACAC